GAUAAGUCGGGGUAGGCACGGCUCGAGAUGAUCUUGCUGGCCCCUGCAUUUGGUUUAUCAACCGAAAGUCCGGCUUGAGAGACACUUUCUGGCAGAGGUUAGAUUAAGAGAGCUGUAUAGGAGAUUGGCUCCCAUAUAUGUACUGUUUGAAUAGUGUUGGGUGGGUGAGUGCUCCAAAUUUUUUAUUGUUAUGAUGUGAUUUGUAUGAAAAUUAUGAAGGUGUUGCAUUCCACUCUUUAUGAAGCAUUAGCUUUAGAUAGCUAUAAAAAUUGUACUUAAAAUUGGUAUUUUACUAUCUGAGUCGAACGCUCACUCCUGU
rnacentral:misc_RNA from 1 species